rnacentral:piRNA from 1 species
UGCUCCUGGAAUUGAAAUACAUACCUGGAUU